rnacentral:rRNA from 1 species
CCGGCACGGGUGAGUAACACGUAUCCAACCUGCCGUCUACUCUUGGACAGCCUUCUGAAGGAAGAUUAAUACAAGAUGGCAUCAUGAGUCCGCAUGUUCACAUGAUUAAAGGUAUUCCGGUAGACGAUGGGGAUGCGUUCCAUUAGAUAGUAGGCGGGGUAACGGCCCACCUAGUCUUCGAUGGAUAGGGGUUCUGAGAGGAGGGUCCCCCACAUUGGAACUGAGACACGGUCCAA